AGACCAUUAGUAAUUUCACCAAAUGUUUUGUUAUGUCAUGAGAGAAGCCGUGUUUCCCCAAGAUAGGAGAAACCGUUCAAAGCCAGAAGACAUUGGUACAUGCUCUUUCCCUCCAAACUGGACACCACUGAACACCACGGGAACACACAGUAAAAACAGAAAGAUCAACGACCUCUGUCAGUUCCCUGGAAAGAAAAAAAAAAUGUGAACAUUAGCAGCAAUUAGUUCACACAUAGGUA